UGAUGGCUGUUCCUCCUGCUGUCUGGAGCUGUGGCAGUGGGAUUUUAGUCCAUCACAGAGAAAAGUGGCCUGUCUUCACUCGGGGCACCAUGAGAUGGGUCGGCCAUCUAUUCGUGCCUCCGAACUUUGCGGGGUCAGACAAGC